rnacentral:lncRNA from 1 species
CCUUAUGGAGCAGUCAGUGUUAUAUAGCAAUUGAUGUUGUUGUAGCAGCUUGAUUCCCUCCACAAUUUUCCUUACCAUCCAGCUAGCAUUUGUUGGGGCAGUGAAGUUCUCCAACUGUUGUUGUUUGAUGUAGACAGUAUGAAUCUAUUUUACCCACAACAGAUCUUUCUUGUGUGCUAAAUCCCAACUAAGUUUAGCUAUAGCAG